AUUUAAAUAGUUCAAACAAAAUUUUAAUUUGUGGGAUUAAAGAUUAUAAUUAUUUAUAUUUAAAUA
rnacentral:tRNA from 1 species